UUUUUAUGCAACCUCAUUACAUCUGCUUAACAAAACAUCCCAGAUACAGUACAUGUUAUAUAAAUGUUCUCUUUUGUAUAAAUGACAGAUCCAUGUUGUAAAGUGUCAACGAGAGUGGAGGGAAGAAGGAAACGAACUUCCUUAUUUAAAUGUGAAUAUUCACAGAAUCAUAUUAAUAAUCCCAAGAUCAUAUUCAAAGAGGGAAAAGACUCCAUUGAUGAGAUUAUAAACAGUUCAUUGAAAAGGAAUGGAAGGUUCAGUAUGUCUGAAAGAAGAGAUAAAAAAUUAAUAACUGCGAUAAUUUCUGAUGUGACACCAGAUGAUGGAGGAGUUUAUUUAUGUGGCGUUCAGAUCAACACACUCUUGUACAGUUACUACAUUAUUACUACUGUUCAUCUACAUUUUAUUCUGGGUGAGUACACUGUAGAUACAGAUGUUACCUUUCAUUGCUGUAUCCCAGUACAGUCAUUCAGAGUUUAAUGUUUAAUAAUAUAUUUGACUUGAAUGAAAUCAAAUAUAUUAUCAGUAUAUUAUUAUCAUUUGAUGUACAUAUAAAGUGAUAUUUGUGAUAAACAGAUGUAGUGGGUGUGUCUAGAAUGACUGGCUACUCAGGAGGUGGUCUGAUGAUCAAGUGUGAACAUCCUCAAUACAAAACCAAACCAAAAUACAUCUCUAAAGAAUCAGACGGAUGUUCAGAGAGGAAGAGUCCAGGAGUUCAGGAUGAAUGGAUGGAGAAUGGAGAUGUUUCUUUAUAUGAUGACACCAGAGCAGGAGUCUUGAUGGUGUUUUUUAGAGAGCUGAAAGCUGCAGAUGCAGGUACAUACAGGUGUGGAGUGAAAGAAUCUGACUAUACUGAGAGCUUCACCGAACUACAGCUGAGCGUCAAACAUGGUGAGGAACAGAAAAUACUUUAACUGCAUGUAUGAUUUAUCUAUUAUGUCUUUUUGUGUAAACCUGUCUUGAUUUGUAGAUGCAGAAUAUCCAAACAGCAUGACUGAAUCUGUGUAUCUUGGUGAAGAAGUCAACAUCUCCUGUCAGAUCCCAGAGAAACAUAAAGUUCAUUUCUGUAAAGAGGAUGAUAAUCACAUCUGCCAGAACAUCAGCUCAUCUAAAGUGACAGAAAUGAGUGGUUCAUCAGAGAGAAAUGAAGAGAGAGUUGUUACAGUGAGCAUCAGUAAUGUGAGUGUGAGAGAUGCUGGAGUUUACUGGUGUGGAGCAGAAACCAGAGACACAUAUCUGACUUUCAUCUCCCUGACCACUAAAAUUCAGCUCAACCUCAUCACUAAAGUGGGUGUGUCUAGAGUGAGCGGCUACUCAGGAGGUGGUCUGAUGAUCAAGUGUGAACAUCCUCAAUACAAAACCAAACCAAAAUACAUCUGUAAAGAAUCAGACGGAUGUUCAGAGAGGAAGAAUCCAGGAUUUUGGGGGUCAUUCCACAAAAUCGGUGCCUUUUCCACUUGGAAAAAUUGAAAAAUAACAUAAGUUUUUAAAUAUCCAUGAAAUUAAGACACCUUAAAAUGACAAGAAUUUGUAUUGUGCCAUCUCAGGCUAUAUCAUUUAUUAUUUUAUGACUAUUUUUCUAUCUCAUGUUUUGGUAUUUUUGUCAAAUCUGUUACCGACACAAGCGUUACUAGAUACUGUAGUUUAAUUAGAACUCAUAUGCCACUGAAUGAUAUUAUAGGCAUUAGCUCAAUAAUAUACUGAGGGUGACAUUUAAAAUGUUUGAAUUUUACACAGACAAUCUUUAAACACAGGGUCAAACCUAAUCAAUGUCAUCCCUGUUACCCACAUGUCAAAACCUGUACUCUAAAAAGUAACAGGUCGACAGUAACAGGUUUGAUGAUUUCAAACUAAUUUGCUAAUUGCUGGCUAAUAGUCAAGUUCAAAAAAGCACAAAUUGUACACUUUGAAAUAAUUUUACUUGUAGAUAUUGAUUAUAUUAAAUGUAAGAAAUAAUUGUUUAAAUUUGCAUUUUAAAAAUGAUAACAGGAUUGACACUGCAUGAUGUCCCCGCUCAGUCAAGCCUCAUAAAUCAUCAAAAAGAACUUGCUUGUGUUUAAGGUUGGAAUUCUGGUUGAGAGAUGAUGCAACCUCCUAGAAAGGAUGUCACUUGAAUAUAUUAUUUUGUAAAACAAGGUUUUUUUGGGGGGGCUGACAUGAAAUCAGGGUAAACCAAUAAAAUAAUUAAUAUUUUAUAGAAAAAACGCA
ensembl:lncRNA